rnacentral:rRNA from 1 species
UUUUUUGUGAACCUGCGGAAGGAUCAUUACCGAGUGCGGGUCCUUUGGGCCCAACCUCCCAUCCGUGUCUAUUGUACCCUGUUGCUUCGGCGGGCCCGCCGCUUGUCGGCCGCCGGGGGGGCGCCUCUGCCCCCCGGGCCCGUGCCCGCCGGAGACCCCAACACGAACCCUGUCUGAAAGCGUGCAGUCUGAGUCGAUUGUUUGCAAUCAGUUAAAACUUUCAACAAUGGAUCUCUUGGUUCCGGCAUCGAUGAAGAACGCAGCGAAAUGCGAUAACUAAUGUGAAUUGCAGAAUUCAGUGAAUCAUCGAGUCUUUGAACGCACAUUGCGCCCCCUGGUAUUCCGGGGGGCAUGCCUGUCCGAGCGUCAUUGCUGCCCUCAAGCCCGGCUUGUGUGUUGGGUCGCCGUCCCCUCUCUCCGGGGGGACGGGCCCGAAAGGCAGCGGCGGCACCGCGUCCGAUCCUCGAGCGUAUGGGGCUUUGUCACAUGCUCUGUAGGAUUGGCCGGCGCCUGCCGACGUUUUCCAACCAUUCUUUCCAGUGACCUCGAUCAGUUAGGAUACCCGCGACUA